rnacentral:rRNA from 1 species
UACGAGAGGCGCAAACGUUAUUCGGAUUUACUGGGCUUAAAGAGUUCGUAGGCGGCAUUGCAAGUAGGGUGUGAAAGCCCUCGGCUCAACCGAGGAAUUGCGCUCUAAACUGCAGUGCUUGAGGAAGCUAGAGGUGAGCAGAACAGAUGGUGGAGCGGUGAAAUGCGUUGAUAUCAUCUGGAAUACCGGAGGCGAAGGCGGCUCACUGGGGCUUUUCUGACGCUGAGGAACGAAAGCCAGGGUAGCGAACGGG